ensembl:lncRNA
GCAAUUGGAAAUGGAUUCCAUCGACGGCUCCUUUGAUUACAGUUUUAGUGUGGACAGUCCGACGGGUCUGAACCAGGGUUUCCUGCUCAACACCGACAACGCCACAGACUCCAAUAUGUACGGCGUUAUCCCAGAAACACCCAGUCCACAGCCCAGCAAACGCAGGAGAAGUGACAGAGAAGAACAUUUAAAUCCAGAGGCUGUCAGCAGCUCUUCUUCUGAAGAGCUGUUCUCCAGUGGGGAACGAAAGUCUCUGUGUUCACGCAAGCGCAGGUGCCUGGUUGCUGGGAGCAGAAAACGUAGCGUCAGCUUAACUGCAUCACCAGAACAGAGAAUUUUUGACCUUUCUCCAACUGUGAGGACUUUACCCGAGGAAAGCUACCUGUCAUCUGCUUCCUCAACCUCCUCAUCAGUAGUGGAGCUGGAUGUUCAGGUGGUGGAUUCUCCUGUGGCCAGUCCUUCCCCUGCAAACAGUCCCAGUCCCGAAGCUGACAGGACAAGGAGCUGGGAAAGUCUGACCAUGUCAGCAGCCUCUUCAGCCUCACCGUUGCCAGCAGCUCUUCAGUCCGAUUUUCUUUUCUCCCUUACUGAUGUGGAGAGGAGGCAGCUCUGUGGGGGGCACGAAGAGAAUUUAGCAGCAGUGACAGAAAUCCUUGACAGAAGUCACGCUCGCCUGGAACAGGAGCAGGCAGACGAAGAGUUUGCUCGAUAUUUGCAGGCCCAGUUUGAUGAAGAGCAAGCCAGCUCUCGCCAGCAGCAGAGGUCAUAUAGGUACCACAGAUCUGUCCAUCACAACCUACGGCAGAGAGAACCUCAAAACAGUGAGUAAAUAAAGACAGCUUUACGACAUUUACACAGCACACAUCUAUGUAUACAUUUAUUUGGUGUUAGUUACAUCAGCUGCUAGCAAAAACAUACUUUUAAUCUAUCAUUAUUUUCCUUCUGCUCUUGUAUAAGUAUUGGAAAGUUUUUACAACACUGACAGCUGCUGCGACAUGCAGAAAGAAUUUAAAUCAAUGCAUUUUUUGAAAUUUAAGAUCGAGGAUGUAUGACCAGCAUGUUGAUCUAACCUUUGUUUGCUCAUCUGAUUGGCUGGGAGGGAAUAGGUGGCUUGGGCAGGUUCCCCCGCUCUCAAGAUCCUCUGGAAGGUGAUUACGAGGUGCGUACACGAACAGCUCUGGGCUCAUAUUCACCAUUCAGGCAUCUGGAUCCAGUGUGCCGAACUAAACAAGAAGCACAGUAACAUCUAUUUACUCUUUCAGGCCCUCCUGCAGUUUGAGGAGCAACAGGGUGCAGUCGUGGUCAGAAGUCUUAGUUCACAGGAAAUUUCAAGAUUUCCCACCAAAAAAUUUGGGAGUGGCACCUGUGCAGGAAGCGCUGUGUGAGUUGGACUGUUAUUGAAUAGUGUGUCUGUAUGGAGGCGCGCCGCUGCGGAUGCUGACUCCUCCUCUGCUGAUUGACUGACAGGUGUAACGUUUGCUUAUGUGAUUAUACUGAUGGGGAGACGCUGAGGACCCUGCCGUGCCUCCACAGCUAUCACAGGGACUGUAUUGACCACUGGCUCAAAGUAAGACAUACUUAAUGGAUAUACAUGGUGACAAAGUGGAGCUCAGCAAGAUGUUGCAGCAUUUAUUUCCCAGACU